UGGGGAAUAUUGGACAAUGGGGGCAACCCUGAUCCAGCAAUGCCGCGUGUGUGAAGAAGGUCUUCGGAUUGUAAAGCACUUUCGACGGGGACGAUGAUGACGGUACCCGUAGAAGAAGCCCCGGCUAACUUCGUGCCAGCAGCCGCGGUAAUACGAAGGGGGCUAGCGUUGCUCGGAAUGACUGGGCGUAAAGGGCGUGUAGGCGGUUUACACAGUCAGAUGUGAGAUCCCCCGGGCUUAACCUGGGAGCUGCAUUUGAUACGUGUAGACUAGAGUGUGAGAGAGGGUUUGUGGAAUUCCCCAGUGUAGAGGUGAAAUUCGUAGAUAUU
rnacentral:rRNA from 1 species